rnacentral:sRNA from 1 species
UGACAUUGAGACGUGCUUUAAACUGUGC